rnacentral:miRNA from 1 species
CCCCCUUCGUCCACGUUCUAG